rnacentral:rRNA from 1 species
AUCUAUGGCCAUGCCACCCUGAACACCCCCGAUCUCUUCUGAUCUCUGAAGCUAAGCAGGGUCGGGCCUGGUUAGUACUUGGAUGGGAGACCACCUAGGAAGACUGGUGCUGUAGGCA